AUUGAACGCUGGCGGCAGGCCUAACACAUGCAAGUCGAACGAGUGGCGGACGGGUGAGUAAUGUCUGGGAAACUGCCUGAUGGAGGGGGAUACCUACUGGAAACGGUAGCUCAUAACGCAUAACGUCAGAUGUGUCCAGACGGGAUUCGCUGGUUGGUGGGGUAACGGCGCACCAAGGCGAUGAACCCUAGCUGGUCUGAGAGGCUGACCAGCCACACUGGAACUGAGACACGGUCCAGAGUCCUACGGGAGGCAGCAGUGGGGAAUAGGGAACAAGGGGCGCAAGCCGUGUGCAGCCAUGCCGCGUGUAUGAAGAAGUCCUUCGGGGUGUAAAGUACUUUCAGCGGGGAGGCGGUACCCGCAGAAGAAGCGCCGGCUAACUCCGUGCCAGCCGCCGCGGUAAUAC
rnacentral:rRNA from 1 species